UCAAUUUUUCCUUCUUGCUUGCAGGAAAUGUAAUUACCAUCAAAAGGAAAAAACUCCUCAGGCACCAGCUAUGCUAAGCAGCUGCAGUAUGGAGCUUGGAAAAAACAUUUUGUGAGGAAGAGCACUGAUCUGGAAACAAAUUCCACAUGUGCAGAUGUGCAUGGAUACAUUCUCUUUAAAAAGAGUCUUCAAGAUGGUUCCUCUGCCCUGGUUUUUCUUUUUGGAAUGCUUCCAGUUUUUGGGAAAUCCACACAGUUUAGCAGAACUGGAUGAUACAUAUCCCAAAGUGCCUGAACACUGGUGUCGAUUGGUCCCUUUUGGACACACCACGCGAGGAGGCUGGAGAGCUGAGCACUGUGGAUUGUUGCAGGGCUCAGUGAGGGCAGCACUGCCAUCACUUGAAAGCCUUCUCCUGCCUGGGGUCACAUGAAACCCCCUGUCCUGCCAGCAGCCCAGUUCACCUAAAACAGGUUUGUCUUUCCAUAGCUGUUGUGUUUCUUUAGUAAGAAAUUUUAAAAAAUUAAAUUACAACCAUCAGUGGAACCCCCUGUAAUGUUACUGGCCUCUAAACUUUCUUCUUUUCAGAGUAGCUGGGAUGUGUUUAGAUGCCCUAAGAAAUAACAGCCCCAGAAAACAACUUAUUCUUUAACUAUUUUCAGUGGUUUGAGUGGUGGGAUUGUUCAUGACUCUAUGUCUCCGCUGCUGCUGCUGUCUGUGUUUCUCUCCUGCAGGAUCCCUGCUCGUUCUUCAGCCCGCAGCCACUGUCAGGGCAUGACAGCAGCACAGCAGCAUCUUCGACUACAUCCACACUGCGGUGGGGACUGAGCCGAGUGGGUUUUACUCCAUCUGGCCCCUCCUGAGCACAUCUCACCAGAUUAAGGGAUUUUUCAGGCUGGGAUCACAGUCCAGCAGCCGUUUCAUAAUCGUACUUCUUGUGCCGUGCCACCAUCUAGUGGUGACUCGACCAGAUACUGCAACUGAGAGGUGAAGCAUCCCAGGCCUGCUGGGAACCCUGGUGCUGCUGGGGCUGCCACGGUUCAGCUUCAUCGCUGGGCGGAUGCUGGAGAGAGCACUCUGCUGAUGAAGCAUAAACCCCCGCAGAUUAACUAGGAUAAGGUUUCUCCCACAUGUGUCAUCCUGCUCUGCUCCUUCCUGUAAUGAGAUUUCAGAAGUGCUGCUUGUGCUUGGUGCGGUUCUGCGGCUCCAUCGCUUUGGUCCCUGCUUGG